rnacentral:rRNA from 1 species
AACGCGAAGAACCUUACCAGGCCUUGACAUGCAGAGAACUUUCCAGAGAUGGAUUGGUGCCUUCGGGAACUCUGACACAGGUGCUGCAUGGCUGUCGUCAGCUCGCGUCGUGAGAUGUUGGGUUAAGUCCCGUAACGAGCGCAACCCUUGUCCUUAGUUACCAGCACGUUAUGGUGGGCACUCUAAGGAGACUGCCGGUGACAAACCGGAGGAAGGUGGGGAUGACGUCAAGUCAUCAUGGCCCUUACGGCCUGGGCCACACACGUGCUACAAUGGUCGGUACAAAGGGUUGCCAAGCCGCGAGGUGGAGCUAAUCCCAUAAAACCGAUCGUAGUCCGGAUCGCAGUCUGCAACUCGACUGCGUGAAGUCGGAAUCGCUAGUAAUCGUGAAUCAGAAUGUCACGGUGAAUACGUUCCCGGGCCUU